rnacentral:lncRNA from 1 species
AACAAUUUGAAUUGAAAUAUACUAUUCAUUUAAACAUAAAUUUUUUCGUUUUAAAAAUUAAAAUUAAAAUUAAAUUUGAAUUUAAUGUACACAAUUAUAAAGUUUAAAUAAAGAUUUAUUACUUAUCAAAUUAGCACUUUCUAAUUUGUUAAGUAACAAAAUUAAAUAAGGAAACAAAUAUUUGUAUAGGGUUAAUCAAAUUUGAUAAUUAGUCUAUAUUUGUUUUCCCAUAUUACCCUUACAAAUGGUAACCUGUUGAUCAGGUAACUAUUAUGCAAAAGUCAAUCUCGCCCCUCAAAUAUGAACGGUUAGAUUUAAUUUAGCCGGUGUAUUGAAGCAUUCCUCUUUUUUUUUUAGUUGUCCAUUCGUUUGAUUUUUAGAAAAAUUGAUUCUUUUGGAAAAAAAAAUUUGGGGGUUUCAUAGAAAAGUGGAGUUUUCAUUUUUCAAAUUUUUAAAAAAACUAAAACAUUAAUUUUUCAUAAGAUUUUAAACAAAAUCUUUUCAAAAAUGCUAGUUUAAAAAAAAAAAAAAUUGAAAAAUUUUU